UGGGGAUCAAUAUCAGGCUUGCAACAAGAGGGCAGAAAGUCCGGUAGUGGAGCAGCUUAACAGCUCCACAAAGAGCUGGAUGUUUGGGCUGGGAGGCAGGAGAUCAAUGGUGUAAAAUAAGAGAGAAUUAACAAUGGUUGCAGAGCAAGGGGAGGACAGUCUGCUUUGACCUGUUGUGUGUUGAGACGACAGGCUUCACCCUGUCGCCCUGAUAAUCGCUCCUAUAUAGAGGGAUAAGGCCAAACAAGAAUGGCUGUGAUAAAGUAAAAGCUCCUCUGUGUUUGUCUAAAGGAAUAGUUGCCAAGGAAAACUAUGGUUUAUUAUUAGGACUGUGAAAGAUAACAAGUUACAUUACAUUAAAAACCUCCUACACUAGUGGAAAUUUGUUUAUUAUUAAUAAUACUUUGACAAUAACUUUGGUCUUUUAACUAAUAACUUCUACAUUGAGAUUAAAAGAAUAAACUCUUUUUAGUGUAUGUUUAAUUUUACAGUAUUUUAACUCAAGUAACUUUUGAAAGCUCAUCUCGCUCCACAGUCUGCUUCUAGCUUGCUUUUCUUCCCUUCUUUUUUCUGCUCCUUCAUUAGAUUAACAUUGAUAUUCAUUAACACCUGAUCUACCCUGUGUGCCUGUGCACUGGGCCUGGCACUGUGCCUCCAUAGGAAAUCAAUGGUAUUUUCAUUCAUCCAGUUGGGAGGACCCACACUGCUUUGCUUCCACAUGCAGUCAUUGCAGUAGUGAUUAACAGGCUAGUAAAGGAGGGUAUACAGUGAUUCUUAAGUAAAAGAUGUGACUUAGGACUCAGACAUCAGUGUAGUGAUGAGUGACACCUGCAUAUGAUGGAGUAAACAUAUCUAAGCAAAAUGUGGAGAUAAUUUUGAGAAGCGGGAUGAAGAAUGAGUGGAAGGAAAAGAGAGGAGGGGAUGAGGAGAGAGAGGUAAUGUAUAGUAUAGGAUAUGGUAAAUCAUGUCUAUCAUCUCUCCUCUCUUCCAUUACCGAUCAGGGAAUGAAGGAUGAUGACGAGUUGGCCAAUUUCCCCAAACUCCCAGUGGAUGCCCUUGAAAGUGACAAAUUGCCAGGUUAAUUGUGUUGGGGUCAUGGCCAUUCGGAGGGAAUGAGCCACUUUAUUUGGAGCGAAAAUCUAUAAGGGGAGUUCAUUCCCAAUCAGCGCUGUCUCUGUUCGGAUCCAGUGAGGGAUGGCCUUGGUCCUCUGGGAAGAAUCCUAAACCAUCCCAACUCAGUGUCUAUGGGAGCAGCCAGCCAGAGGAGCCUUGAAGUCGGCGAGAAGAAGGAAGUAAAGCCAGGUGUGCAAGGGAACAUGAUGGGCCCCGAGGAUGGGCUGAGAGGGGAAGCUGAGUGUCUUGCCAAGCAGCACUAGUACCAUUAAUGCAUGAAGAGAUGGAUAUUGUCAAGUCUCCCCUCAUUCAUGGAAGGCCAAGUGAAAGAGGCUAAGGUGGAAAAACUGGCCUAACCUCAAAGUCGAGGGUGUCCUGUCACACAGCACAACAUGGAGAAAAGGUCUGAUCAGGUUUCACACAGGGAACCCUGCUGCACCACAGGGUUGGUGCUGCCAUCUUAGAGCAGAGGCAAACCCUGAAAGUUGACAGCAUGGGCGCAUGAACCUGCAAAUGAUAUCUACAGGGGUUUGGGCUGGAAUAUUGUCAAUCAGAAUGAGAAGGAGAGCAUGGGAUGUUGUCCGUCGGUCAAUCAUUGGGGAAAUGUUUCAGAAGAGCUCUAAACAUGAGAGAGGAAAUGAGCUGAGACGGAUGUGCCCAAAAAACACACCGUGGGAGAUGGAGGAAAACGAGACAAAGGCAGAAAUCAGAUAACCCAUCUAAUAAACAGGGACUAGGACAAGCAGAGAAGCAAUGCGGUUCAGAGUCUGGUCUGCUUCACUGGACCUGAACACAGCCAUUUCAUCUGUUGAGCCAGCAGGCCAAAUCAAGUGGUCUUUAUUAAAGUCUCUUUGAUGGAUUCACCCCUGGCCUCCCCCGCUGUGAUCUAUCGCCUGUCCAGGCCUUGGAGGUCGUAAUAAACUUGUUUAGCAAUGGGGUCACUGCAUGCAAGCAGUGCAUGUGCGUGUGUGUGUACGUGUGUGUGUGUUUCUGCUUGUACAGUAUGUUAUGUGGCUCAGUUCCAAACCAGCGCAUACAGGCGUUGUAUAUCCAUAGCUGCUGGCACUGGAUCCACUUGUGAUGAUAUUUGUAGUUGCCCCGCAGAUUCCAGUGUGAUUGCAUCAUAUAUUUAUACGCAUACAGUACAGUGCAUUUAAGAUAUGAUCAGGCAUAGUAGCAGCGCUGUUAUUCCUUUCAGUAGUUUUACUGUCGUGAGCAGCUCCUGCGUAUUUCCUAAUAGAGUAGUAAAUCAAAGGCAGUUGAGCCUGGCUAAGUCCUUCGCAGAUUCAGUGAAGCCAUACAGACAAAAGCUAUUUAUUUGUAAAAAGGAAUAUCUUGUUUUGUUUGAUAUUUAUUUCUCC